CCCAGACAAGAUGAAGGAGAAUGAGGCAAAGCAGAGACCGGCUGAAGCCAUCAGCACAAGUAUUGACAAUGAGCCAAAUUGUGAAGAGUUCUACCCUUAAAUCCAGCCUUCUCAGAAGCAUGGCCUAGUGCUCCCUGGGUGCAUUCCCUGGUGCAUUUCCCUUGCUUGCCUUUGGUUCCUGCUGUUCACAGAAAGAUGCAGAUGGCUGCCUCAGCAGGAAGCCCUUCCCCCUUCCUUAAUGGAACUCGUGGGAAUGCGGGGAUCCUGGAACCAAAGCCCUCCUUCCCUUCCAAACCUCCUCUCCAAACCCCUACUGAGUAAAAGGAAAAAAAUCCCCACAUCCCUGGAAACAUUUUUGCCAGCCUGUUUUUC